AGCGAACGCUGGCGGCAGGCUUAACACAUGCAAGUCGAGCGGGCCUUUCGGGGUCAGCGGCGGACGGGUGAGUAACGCGUGGGAACGUGCCCUCUGGUUCGGAAUAACUCAGGGAAACUUGAGCUAAUACCGGAUACGCCCUUUUGGGGUAAGGCUUGCUGCCGGAGGAUCGGCCCGCGUCUGAUUAGCUAGUUGGUGAGGUAACGGCUCACCAAGGCGACGAUCAGUAGCUGGUCUGAGAGGAUGAUCAGCCACACUGGGACUGAGACACGGCCCAGACUCCUACGGGAGGCAGCAGUGGGGAAUAUUGGACAAUGGGCGCAAGCCUGAUGCAGCCAUGCCGCGUGAGUGAUGAAGGCCUUAGGGUUGUAAAGCUCUUUUAUCCGGGACGAUAAUGACGGUACCGGAGGAAUAAGCCCCGGCUAACUUCGUG
rnacentral:rRNA from 1 species